CACAGACCGUUUCCUCCUCUCUCGCCUGAUACACAGCAGCAAUGGUUCAGUUUAUGACUUUGCCAUUGUUUAUUUUUACGGUUGCUUUGCUCUCAGAGACUCUGUGCUCUUUAACUUUGGAGGCAGAAGUUGGAGAUAAAGUCACCAUUUGGUGCCAACAUGACCUGAGUAUUACUGGAUCCAUCUUCUGGUUUAAACACAAGAGUGAUUCAGUUCCACUUCUUCUCGGGUGCAAAAAGUUUAGAGCAUCAGGAUCAUCACCAGUGUGUUACUUCUUCACUGAGACUGAGAGGAUAGUGAUGUCUGUCCAUGGCAAGAACACGUCUCUCACCAUCACGGCGGUAAACGUCUCUGAUACAGGACUCUAUUACUGCAGCUUUGGUGACGAAAUGGUCUUUAGUAACUCGACCUGUUUACAAGUGGGAGAUGACAACACCAACAGACAUGAUGAGGAGGAGCAGAAGCCUGAUUCAGUGAAUUACGCUGCUCUACAUUUCACUAAAAAGAAAAUCAAAAGAACAGGGAGACACAGUGACGUGGUGGAACCACAUGUUGUAUAUUCAGCUAUCAGACAAUAA